rnacentral:rRNA from 1 species
CUUGGUCAUUUAGAGGAAGUAAAAGUCGUAACAAGGUUUCCGUAGGUGAACCUGCGGAAGGAUCAUAAACGAGUUCGAACGAGGUUGUCGCUGGCCUUCCGGGGCAUGUGCACACCUCUUUCUCGUCCAUCUCACACCUGUGCACCUUCGGUAGUUCUAGAGAAGGCAAGUCGCCGCGAGGCGAUGACCCGACUUUGGUCCUACGUCUUUACACACUCUAUAAAAGUUUUGAAUGUAUACCACGUCUAACGCAUCUAAUACAACUUUCAACAACGGAUCUCUUGGCUCUCGCAUCGAUGAAGAACGCAGCGAAAUGCGAUAAGUAAUGUGAAUUGCAGAAUUCAGUGAAUCAUCGAAUCUUUGAACGCACCUUGCGCUCGACGGUAUUCCGACGAGCAUGCCUGUUUGAGUCUCAUGAAUCUCUCAAACCCCGAUGGUUGCGAAAGCGACUUUUGGUGGUUUGGACUUGGGGGUUUGCCGGCGUUCGUCGGCUCCUCCUAAAUGCAUUAGCAUUGGAUCGUUCGUGUUGGUCCACGAUGUGAUAAACGUCUACUUCGUGUGAUCGGCGCCUUGCCGAAGGCGACGGAAAGGACUCUACCGCAGGGCAACCUGUAGCGCUUCGGCCGUGUGGAGUUUUGGAAGUUGUCUGAAAGCGAGUCGGUCUGGCUUCUAAUCGCCCUCGGGCAACAUUCUUGACAUCUGAGCUCAAAUCAGGUAGGACUACCCGC